UAAAUGGCCGCGGUAUUUUGACUGUGCUAAGGUAGCAUAAUCAUUAGUUUAUUAAUUUUAAACUGGAAUGAAUGAGUUGACGAGAAUUAAGCUUUUUUGAUGAGUAGGCUUGAAUUUUAUUUUUCAUUUAAAAAGAUGAAUUGAAUUUAAAAGACAAGAAGACCCUAUAGAGUUUUAUAUAAGGUAAUGUUUUUAGUGGUUGGAUUAAUUGUAUUUGGUUGGGGUAACGUUUAUAUAGAAUGAUUUAUAAAAUAUUUAAAACUAUAAAUUAGAAUUAUUGAACUUGAUAAAGUUAUUUGAUUAAAUUACCUUAGGGAUAACAGUGUAAUAUAUUUUUGAAGUUCAUAUUUAAAAAUGUGCUUGCAACCUCGAUGUUGAAUUAAGAUUUCUACUUGAAGUAUAAGUUAAUGUAGAAGGUCUGUUCGACCUUUAAAAUCUUACAUGAUUUGAGUUCAGAACGGCGUGAGCCAGGUUG
rnacentral:rRNA from 1 species